UCCGUGCCUACUUGAGGCCUUCCAAAGGUAUCAGAUUCCCUAAAGAAAAACACACGUUUCAGGACAAGGCUUAUUCUAGGGCGAGGAGCAAUACUCAACCUUACUGGUCCUGAAGGAGUUCCAGAGGACAAGAAAUUUCUUGGUUUCAACCAAAUGUCCAGUUCCUUUAAGGGACCUGGAGUUUAUUGAAAUCAGGAAGGAGCUAUUUUUUUCUUUCUGGACAACCCACAUGAGGGGAUGACUGACUGUGAGUACAGCAAUAAACAGGGGAGUGAAUACGAACUUGGAUCAAGCACGUGGGAUUUUCUGGGGCAGAGGAGUACAGCUGAUGAAGGUGCCAAGAAGGAAAAAUCAGAAAGUUGCCCCUUGGAUCAGGAAUCAUUUAUGUGGUGUUUCUAUGCAUGAAGAAGCAGAAAAAGAGGUGACUGGAAAUGCUCUGAGAUGAUGGGACACCAGGCACCAAGUGACAGUCAUCAUUCUGCAUAUUGAAAAAUGCUGGGAUGACAGUGCAGUCCCAUUGCUUUUCUGGCACAAGUAACAAGUAGGUCAUCUGCAAAUGUGUCGCUUGGGUCUAACACUGACAAUUGACAGAUGUAUUUGGUUUGCACACAAAUCUCUAGGCCCCCAGAAUAAACCAGGGUUUUUUAAGUGGUGGUCCCAUUA